CUGUGCCACACACAAGACUGUCACACACACAGACCCCUGCUCUUCUCUCCCCCACCCUUCCAAGCAGAGCUGAGCAGCGCAGCGCACCGCACUGCCUAAUGAUGACGAGACUUCCGCCAUGAGCUGAUUGGCUGACUAAGUUAUGACCAGGAAGAGACGUCUUCGCUGAAUCGUUUCAUCAUAGGAAUGAAUGCUAGAUUGAUGCCUGCAGCUUCUCCAUCAAAUCGAAAUAAACAAAGAAACAGAGUACUUUGCAGAGCCAACAGGCGAAAAUAGAAAACGAUAGAGCCUGGGGCAAGACGAGAGUGAACCUCGGAUUUGCGUUCACAACCUGAAGAGGGCGAGCUAGCUAACGUUAGCUAGGGGAUUCAAAACCGACCAAUACUUGUCCUAAUUUCUGCUCAAAAGUCCUACUACAACUGGAUGCAGUUGGCACAUCCCUGAGUGGAGAAGGAUCAGAUCGGUCUUCGUCUGAGCUCGACUACAGCAGAACUGGACUACAUCAAUAAUCACCAUCCAGUCAUGGAGAACGCUUACGGGAAGUGUGAACCUACAGAGUACUCAGAAAUGUUGAUGAAAGGGGCCUUCAACCAAACACAUGAAUCAUAUGGAAAUAAGGAACGUUUGUGUGGACAACAAUAAACUUGUGUGUGAAACCAUA